rnacentral:rRNA from 1 species
GACAGAGGUGCCAAGCGUUAGGCGGAAUCACUGGGCUUAAAGCGUGUGUAGGCGGAAUUGUAAGUACCUUGUGAAAUCCCAUGGCUCAACCAUGGAACUGCUCGGUAUACUUCUUUUCUUGAGCCACUUAGGGGCUACCGGAACAAAUGGUGGAGCGGUGAAAUGCGUAGAUAUCAUUUGGAACGCCAAUGGUGAAAACAGGUAGCUGGGAGUGUGCUGACGCUGAGACACGAAAGCCAGGGGAGCGAACGGG